AGAGAAAGGCAGCUGGUUUGAGAUUGUUCGUUCACAGUUCGCACUUAAGAGAGAAAAAUGGCGAACAAACGUAUCAGUGAGAUGAAUUUGCCCAAAUCGAUAGCUAACGUUUUCGCAGCUCGUAACUUAUUCACCGCCAAGGAUGUUUUGUCCAGGACUGAGUACGAGUUAAUGGAGAUAUUAGAUAUGGAUUUAGCACAAGUUACCUCUGCUGUAGCACAUAUCAGUGAGAUUGCGUGUCCACCUUUUCAUACUGCAUUUUCACUUUUAGAGCGUGUCCAAAAUGAAUGUUUUUCUGGUCAUCUUCCAACUCGUCUAAAAGGUUUAGAUGUUGUUUUAUCUGGUGGACUUCCGUUUGGGGUGCUGACAGAGUUGGUCGGCCCUGCAGGAAUUGGAAAAACUCAGUUUUGCAUGAAGAUGUCGUUGCUGGCUUCUCUGCCUCUUAGUUAUGGGGGACUAGAUGGACAUGUAAUUUAUGUAGAUGUGGAAUCCAAAUUUAGUUCAAGAAGGAUAAUAGAAAUUGGACUUAACAGUUUCCCUGACGUGUUUCACAUGGAAGGAAUGGCACGAGAGAUGGCUGGUAGGAUAGUAGUCUUGCGGCCAACAUCACUCAACGAUUUUACUGAGAGCUUGCAAGAAAUUAAAUUGUCAGUCCUCCAACACAAAGUGAAGCUACUGGUCAUUGAUAGUAUAACAGCUCUCCUUUCAGGGGAACUGGAGCAAGGGCCCAGACAACUACAUCCAUUGAGUUGGCAUACUUCAUUUAUUAAGUCACUAGCAGAGUUUUCACGCAUUCCUGUUAUUGUUACCAACCAAGUAAGAUCUCAAAGCCUCAGCGAAGCUUCCCUCUAUUCCUUCCAAGUGCAAAAUAAAGGAUUACAUGAACCUGUGAUGUAUGAUUCACAUCUUACCGCUGCUUUGGGAAUUAAUUGGGCUCAUUCCGUAACUAUUCGUAUUGUACUUGAAGCCAAAUCAGGUAAGAGAUUCAUGAAGGUGACAAAAUCACCAAUAUCUCCACCGAUGAUGUUCCCUUUCUGUAUAACUUCCUCUGGAAUUUCAUUGCUAAGUGAUGUGGGCAUGGAGAUGUCAGGAUUGCAAAUAAAUUCUAUACAUAAUGAAGAGCAUACUGACAUCAUCAAUUUUAAAAAUGAAGAAUCAAUAUGAGAGCAGCGUGAAUACAGUAGCACCGUUCAAGUUGCAAUGCCUCAGCUUCAAAAAACUGGAUAUCAACAAAGACCUACAGAAAUUAUGUUCUCUUCGGAUCUGUGAAGUUCUAACAACAGCUUGACUUCUAAAAAGUAAGGUAACACUUGUACUUUACAAUUCCAAAUGUACCAGUACUUUUUAUUUAACAAUGUUGUUCGUUAACAACAAAAGAUAUGAUGGGGGCUCAUUUGAAAACACUCUCUUGAUCCAGACCGAGAUUGAGAUGAGAAACUAUCAAUAAGUUUUCUAAACGUGUGUCAAGCUAUGUUCUGAUCUUAUAUAAAUUCACACAAAGAUAUCUAACAAAAAAAAGAAAUGAAAAGAAAAGUAUUUUUAUUGUA